GCUCCCAUGGCGUAGUGGUCACUGCGCUCGCCUUGCACGCGGGAGACCCGGGUUUGAUUCCCUGCGGGGUCA
rfam:Asian citrus Psyllid, Diaphorina citri - Florida Strain, whole genome shotgun sequence.